GACGAACGCUGGCGGCGUGCUUAACACAUGCAAGUCGAACGGAAAGGCCCUGCUUGCGUCGGGUGCCCGAGUGGCGAAGGGGUGAGUAACACGUGAGUAACCUGCCCUGGGCGUUGGGAUAUCUUCAGGAAACUGGGGCUAACACCGGAUAGGUGCUCCUGCAGCAUGGGGGGGGUUGGAAAGUUUCGGCGGAUGGGGCUGGACGCUCGGCUUAUCAGCUUGUUGGGGGGGUAGUGGCUUAGCAAGGCAUUGGCGGGUGGCCGGCCUGGGAGGGUGACCAGCGACCUUGGGCCUGAGGUACGGCCCAGACUCGUACGGGGGGCAGCAGUGGAGAGUAUUGCCCAGUCGGCCGACGCCUGAUGCGGCGGCCUCGCGUGCGGGAUGACGGCCUUCGGGUGGUAAACCGCAUUCGCCUGUGACGAAGCGUGAGUGACGGUAAUGGGUAAAGAAGCACCGGCUAACUACGUG
rnacentral:rRNA from 1 species